CCUACCUGAUUAUUCUUUCAAUUCCCCAUCCUGUUUCCCCCUUUUUCUGGAUCGUCGCCUAGGAAUGGGAAUCCUCCCUCUGCCCUCUCCCCCACAAAGCACUCAGGUCAAGGUGAUCACAAGUUUACAGGGGAAGAGUUGGACUUUUCUCUGGAGCAGAUCCUCUGUUGGAAUCUUUAUGAAUGGAAAUAGUCGAGCUUAAAAUCGCAAUCCAGGGAUGCAACCGAUCACACCCCUAGAACAAUUGCUUCCGCGAGCAUUUGUCUUCCAAUCUGCCAAGCUCUUGGAGGAUGGAAUUACCAUACUCAUUCACUCCAGCUUCACUCCAUCGGUCCUCUUCUGAGGCACUCACAGGGAUGAUUGAGGCAGAAAAUUCCUCAGGGACUGUUGGAUAAGCUUCUGGAAAAUACGUGAUUUCAUGCCUAGAAAACCCCCAGAAAUUUCACAGCACUCCCAAAUAUGAAUUCGAGUUGUCUAUUUAAAGGAAGUAAUACAAUCUGGAGACUU